rnacentral:piRNA from 1 species
UGGGUACAUGUGCCAAGCCUUUGGUAACCUC